AUCGGAAGCCCUUCCAGCUCCGUGGCUUCAUGAUUGUCUACAACUUCUCACUGGUGGCACUCUCCCUCUACAUUGUCUAUGAGUUCCUGAUGUCGGGCUGGCUGAGCACCUAUACCUGGCGCUGUGACCCUGUGGACUAUUCCAACAGCCCUGAGGCACUUAGGAUGGUUCGGGUGGCCUGGCUCUUCCUCUUCUCCAAGUUCAUUGAGCUGAUGGACACAGUGAUCUUUAUUCUCCGAAAGAAAGAUGGGAGGAAUGGGCUCUUUCCAUGCCAUGAUAAACUCUUCUGUGCAUGUCAUAAUGUACCUGUACUACGGAUUGUCUGCCUUUGGCCCUGUGGCACAACCCUACCUUUGGUGGAAAAAGCACAUGACAGCCAUUCAGCUGAUCCAGUUUGUCCUGGUCUCACUGCACAUCUCCCAGUACUACUUUAUGUCCACCUGUAACUACCAGUACCCAGUCAUUAUUCACCUCAUCUGGAUGUAUGGCACCAUCUUCUUCGUGCUGUUCUCCAACUUCUGGUAUCACUCUUAUACCAAGGGCAAGCGGCUGCCCCGUGCACUUCAGCAAAAUGGAGCUCCAGGUAUUGCCAAGGUCAAGGCCAACUGAGAAGCAUGGCCCAGAUAGGCGCCCACCUAAGUGCCUCAGGACUGCACCUUGGGCAGCGUCCGUCAGUGCCCUCUCCACCUACACCUGUGACCAAGGCUUAUGUGGUCAGGACUGAGCAGGGGACUGGCCCUCCCCUCCCCACAGCUGCUCUACAGGGACCACGGCUUUGGUUCCUCACCCACUUCCC
rnacentral:sRNA from 1 species